rnacentral:rRNA from 1 species
CGGCGAGUGAAGCGGCAACAGCUCAAAUUUGAAAUCUGGCCCCAGGCCCGAGUUGUAAUUUGCAGAGGAUGCUUCGGGCGCGGUGCCUUCCAAGUCCCCUGGAACGGGGCGCCACAGAGGGUGAGAGCCCCGUCUGGUAGGACACCUAGCCUGUGUGAAGCUCCUUCGACGAGUCGAGUAGUUUGGGAAUGCUGCUCUAAAUGGGAGGUAGACCCCUUCUAAAGCUAAAUACCGGCCAGAGACCGAUAGCGCACAAGUAGAGUGAUCGAAAGAUGAAAAGCACUUUGAAAAGAGGGUUAAACAGUACGUGAAAUUGUUGAAAGGGAAGCGCUUGUGACCAGACGUGCGCCGGGCGUUCAGCGGGCGUUCUCGCCCGUGUAUUCGCCCCGGCGCAGGCCAGCGUCGGUUUGGGAGGGGGGAUAAAGGCACCAGGAACGUGGCUCUCUAGGGAGUGUUAUAGCCUGGCGCGUCAUGCCCCCGCCCGGACCGAGGUUCGCGCUCCGCAAGGACGCUGGCGUAAUGGUCUCCAGCGGCCCGUCUUGAAACACGGACCAAGGAGUCGAGGUUUUGCGCGAGUGUUUGGGUGCUAAACCCGCACGCGUAAUGAAAGUGAACGCAGGUGGGAGCUUCGGCGCACCACCGACCGAUCCUGAUGUUCUCGGAUGGAUUUGAGUAGGAGCGUAGGGCCUCGGACCCGAAAGAUGGUGAACUAUACUUGGAUAGGGUGAAGCCAGAGGAAACUCUGGUGGAGGCUCGCAGCGGUUCUGACGUGCAAAUCGAUCGUCAAAUCUGAGUAUGGGGGCGAAAG